rnacentral:rRNA from 1 species
UACGUAGGUGGCAAGCGCUGUCCGGAAUUAUUGGGCGUAAAGCGCGCGCAGGCGGUUCUUUAAGUCUGAUGUGAAAGCCCCCGGCUCAACCGGGGAGGGUCAUUGGAAACUGGGGAACUUGAGUACUGAAGAGGAAAGCGGAAUUCCACGUGUAGCGGUGAAAUGCGUAGAGAUGUGGAGGAACACCAGUGGCGAAGGCGGCUUUCUGGUCAGUAACUGACGCUGAGGCGCGAAAGCGUGGGGAGCAAACAGG